GACGAACCGAGCGAACGUUGUUCGGAAUCACUGGGCUUAAAGGGCGCGUAGGCGGGCUGUCAAGUCUGGGGUGAAAUCCCACGGCUCAACCGUGGAACUGCCUUAGAUACUGACGGCCUCGAGGGAGAUAGGGGCGAGCGGAACUGUGAGUGGAGCGGUGAAAAUGCGUUGAUAUUCACAGGAACUCCGGUGGCGAAGGCGGCUCGCUGGAUCUUUUCUGACGCUGAGGCGCGAAAGCUAGGGGAGCAAACGGG
rnacentral:rRNA from 1 species